AGAAGCAGCACUGAACGCAGCUGGAGAGGAGAAGGGUAUGAAACCCUUACGUUAAUUUCAAAACACCGUAACUUUCCAAUUCGAGCUCCGAUCGCCGCACCGUUUGUGGUCACGCGACCACUGCGUCGAGCUCUACGUUUUUACCGGAACAAUUUCAUAGGAUCUAAUUAGCUUGAGAAAAGCGUUCACUCUUGCUUAUACGAAGUUUGGGUAGUAAAUAAAUAAUUGGAGAUUGAAAUUGUGGAUAUUAGAACUUGGAGGAGGCUGAGCAUUAGUGUUUUAUUGAAGUUUUUGGGGCUAUGUUGGUUUUAAUGAAUUGUCUUGAUCAUUACGAGGAUAUCGGCCAAGAUGCAGGUCGAGAGAUACCUUGUUAGGCGUCUGGACUUCUGAAGCGAAGUGGUUAUCGGGUUACUUUUUGAUUGUAUAGUCGUGUAUAUAUAUGUACUUAGUUCUCUCUCCGCAUGACUUGUUCCUUUUAACCUUCUUAGAGGCUUAUGGAGAGACAUGAUUUUGUUUAUGUAAAUCUGGGUUUUGGAUAUAUAUAUAUAUAUAUAUAUAUAUAUAUAUAUAUAUAUAUUCUCCGGCCAGCCUUGACUUCGCGAGCUGAGUUAGGAGCUUGUUAUUUUGUAUC